rnacentral:rRNA from 1 species
AUACGUAGGGUGCGAGCGUUGUCCGGAGUUACUGGGCGUAAAGAGCUCGUAGGUGGUUUGUCGCGUCGUCUGUGAAAUUCCGGGGCUUAACUCCGGGCGUGCAGGCGAUACGGGCAUAACUUGAGUACUGUAGGGGAGACUGGAAUUCCUGGUGUAGCGGUGAAAUGCGCAGAUAUCAGGAGGAACACCGGUGGCGAAGGCGGGUCUCUGGGCAGUAACUGACGCUGAGGAGCGAAAGCAUGGGUAGCGAACAGGAUUAGAUACUCUGGUAGUCCAUGCCGUAAACGGUGGGCGCUAGGUGUAGGGGUCUUCCACGACUUCUGUGCCGUAGCUAACGCAUUAAGCGCCCCGCCUGGGGAGUACGGCCGCAAGGCUAAAACUCAAAGGAAUUGACGGGG